rnacentral:lncRNA from 1 species
UUUUUUUUUCUUGUUAUUAAGCAAUAUAGUUGUGAUAAUUUAUUAAAUGUUAAUUGUUUUAAAGUUGGUGCUAAAUAAUUGUGAUAAUCAUUAAAGUUCAUAUUUCAAAUCAUGAUAGUUGUACUCCUGAUAACAUGCUGUUAUAUAUAUUUAAUAUAUUCAUUUACAAUGAUAGUUUAAGAGAGGAAAAUAUACUCUAUAAAGACAAGUUUUAUAUAUAAAAAAAAGUAGUGCUUAUACUAUAGUUUUGGUGCUAACUGUUUUAUGGUGCUAUGCAUUCUGUCAGAUUCCCCUAUAAAGAUAAGUUUUAUAAAGAGAGUAGUGCUUAUACUAUAGUUUUGGUGCUGUGUAUUCUUACAUUGAAAAAAAAGCAUUUACGGUUGUUAAUCAAACCAUGAUACCUGUAUAUAUUUUAUCUAUAUUUUGUUACUUUAGUGCAACAUUCCAUCUUUUAAUGUUUGCUUCAUGCAUGUUUUCAUUUUAAACAUGGAAACCAUGUGGGUUAUAUUUUUAUUUUAUAACAUAAUUUAUCUUCUAUCACAUUCCAUCAAGUUACUUUUUAUAUUGUAG